AGAAAGGAUAUAUUGCACUACUAGUCCUUCAAUUUUUAAAUUCGACUUUCAAAACUCUGAACUUUCAACGAUGUUUCAUUUUCAAUUCUGAACUUUCAGCAAUGUUUUAUUUCAGAUCUCUUUCUUAGAAUAAAACUUAUUGGUUAUAGCAAUAGACAAUAGGCAUCACAGACAUGGACACGGAUACGGACACGAAGUAUGAAACACGGCACGACUUGGACACGAUGACUAGACACAGCUCUAAAAAAAAUUAAGACACAGGCACAAAAUAGACACCAC
rnacentral:lncRNA from 1 species